GCAAGAAAACAAGUGGGUAAAGGCCGCGAGGCAUUGGCGCGCCAGUGGUGGUCGUUGACCCCAAGCACACCCGCCUUUUCCCGUCAACGAUCAAAAGAAUCUGAACUCCUUGUUGAACGACGAUCAAAAGAAUGUGAUGGAUACACCAUGGCGAACGGAAUGGUGCAACGAGCCAACAGCAAUGGGACAAGGAAAGCCUCCAUCUGAUUUGACGACGGACCGCUCCGCGAUGCUAGUCGACAAGGUGGGUUCUAUGCAUUCCCUUUCCGGAAGAUUCGCUCACCCUGUGUCGCGUCCCUCCCCGGCUGAUAAUUAAUGCUCUUUGAGGACUCAUCCGAGUUUGCCUAGGUGGCGACUUCUGUGCGUGUCAUUAUGGCCUGAGCGGCAGCUGUAUGUUGAUGUGUAGAAGAGAUGGCUGGGCCCAGACAGUACAAUUUAGAUGUAAAAUUUGGGUGGGGGUGAAAUAAAAGUAAGUUUCAAAU